GUGAAUAUGAUACUUAAGUUUAGGCACCAGAAUUAAGUAUGGUAUUAUCCAUACAAUUCGAAAAUAAGGUGAUUAAAUCAAAGCCAACAAGGAUAUCCAAAGUUAAUGCAGUACGAUCGUUUCAUGCGACUCCAUUUAUUUAAGCAAUGUGAACUUUGUAUAUCCUUGUUACUUAUUUUGGAUAUCCUUGUUGCUUAUGUGUGUAUAUAUACACACAUAUUUACUUUAACUUGUUUCAGUUUCUUUCACCUCCCAGACAUCUUUAGCGAGACUUGUUGCUGUUCUAUUUUCAUGGUAUCGAAACGCAUUUCGAUGGGAAUACACCCUCGUCUUGCAAGAAGUUUUCCUGGCCUCUAUAUGUGUCUCAUAAUUUUGCGAGUCGUCUUUUCUGUUACUUCUUCGAUAAGAACAUUUCGAAUAUUACAUUCAAAACGAUUUGAAAAUUACAAAAACUGACACAGUAAAAAUCAAUGAAAUUUCACAAAGAUAUAUUCAUCGCAUAACUUCUUCAAAAUAAUACAUAUAUAUACUUCUAGCAUAAUAUGCUCUUAUAUGUAUGUAAGUAAUAGUGCCACAGCAGCAGUUGAAAACAAAGAUUGGCUCUUGAAUUAUAAGUGGAAGUAAAGUUUUUUAUUCGAAAUUUUAUAUCGAAGAAUAUUUAAGAUAAAUUAGUUAGGCUAUUUUACUUUGCUACUCUUGUAUUGUAUAUAUAUUUACCAUAUAAGUUGUUCCUGAAUAUGUUUUAAUUACAUUACGGAGACGUUUUGUUUGUAUACGUACAGUUUUUUUAACAUAUCUGGGGCUAUACAGUGUCUUACAACUAUUUCUCUUUCUAUGGGAAUUACCGAGCAUGAUGCUUUGGGAUCCUUGUUCAUUCGGAGAUAAUUACCUAAUAUCGUCUUUUCGAAUGCUUUCGCAUAAUAAUCAGUAUUGUCAUUGAAAAUUUCAUUGCUAACACAUUUAUUAGCAACGUAUAUAUAAACCAUCACAAUUAUAUAUUUCUUAUUAAAAGGGUAUACAAGUCAUUGAAAUACAUUCAAAAUAUUACGGCAUGGAAUAAUGCUACCGUGUCUCUAAUAUGAAUGUAGCACCACAUUCUAAUCGUAAUUGUAAUUGAAAUCAAUACUGCUAUAUUCUAUGUAUAAUGCAAGUUAAUCUACUAAUAACAUUUUUGAAACUGCAACAAAAUCUUUAUUCAAUUUUCUAUAUUUGUUGCCUUAAAACACUCCCUUAAUCUACUACUGUAGAGUGUACAAUACUCCAAAUACGUUGCUACGUAUAUUAGGUAUAUAUUGCAUGUAUAUAUUACAUGUUUGUCACUGUCAAUACUUCUAAUAUAUUCCAUGGCAAUGUAUAAUAUCCAUGGAAAUCCCACAUUCAUGUGUAAUACAACUGUAUCAAUGAAAUUACACUGUGCUGCUACUGCAAAUGUCUUUUUUAUGUCGUAGAUGAUUUGCAGUAUGUUUUGUUUGGUUUUUGGUACAGCUAUUGUAAUUUCAUUGAAAAUGUUCAAUAUAUAGCAAAAUAAUAGCUGUGAUUAUUAUAGAAAUGUUUCAACGGCAUAUCCUUCAUUUGUUGCAGCUGUAGUUAUAUACUGAAGACACAGUGGCAGCAGAAACGCAGUGCUUAUCCCAACAGUGUUGCCAGAGCUUUUUUUCAGUUUUUCCGCAGCCUUUGGAAUCUGAAAGAAAAUUGUUUUUUUUAUUUAAUUUGCUGUCGAGACUUAGUUUGAAAGUGAACAAUAUAUCUUACAAAAAAUACACCAUGGAUAGUUGACGUUAUUAAAACUACUGCAAUUAUGACCGUUCGAUACGUUUGUCACAGCGGAUACCAAAACGAAUUUCGAUGGAAAUACAACCUUGUCUUGUAGGAAAUUUCUCUGGCCCCAUGUGGAUUCAUUGGCAUUAAUUAAAAAUAUCAAAAUUAUCAAUGGCAGACCCUAUGAUUACACAAGAAAUGAAGAGGCACGCUGUCAUCCUGGUUAUAAAGGCUGAACAUAGCAAUUUAGAAAUAGCACGAUUUUGAAAAGUCGCUAGAUCCUUCGUCUACAAAAUCCGAAAGGAGUUAGGGGCUAAAGACAGAAAUGUAUGGCCAGUAUCAAAACGUAAGAAACGUUAUAAAAAAAAUGAUACUAUUAGAACACCAGAACAGCGGUUUAAUUCUCCAUUAAUAUACCUGCAAUUCGUUAAUGUGUGAUAGUAUUAGUGCUUACGCUUAUCAAGUUCCAGUUGUCUUUAUAGAUGUUUUCAUCCGUCCUGUAGGCUGUAGGGGAGAACAGAAUUUUGAUAAUAUAAUAUAAGGAAAAUGGAGAGUUUGAACACAGUGCUUGGAAGUAACGUGUGUAGCGUGUGCUUGUCGCAUUGCCUGUGACACAGUAAGCUGAGAAGAGAGUCUGCAUCAAAUUUGCCAAAAGCUUAGUCUUACCUCCCCAAAGGCCUACGCAAAGUUUUCAAAAAUUAUCACCGUUCUCGACACAAUCUUUUUGUCAUAGUCAAUGCGACGAUCACACGUAACACACGUUACUUAGAACCACUGCUGUAAACAGCGGAAGUAUGCUAUAACGUGAAACCUUAGUGCACAUGCACAGCAGCCUUCAAGGUCAACAUGUGCCAAGCAACUUCACUCUGCAUGCUUUAGCUUUGUUACAGUCCGAAUACUUACUGAUCAGACCUCGUAGAUAUUUUACAUUCAUUUCCAAAGUAUCACAUUGUAUUUAAAUUUCUGGUGCAAUGAAAAUGAAUAGAUAUUGUUCAUUAGUAUGGUGGAAAUGUAUUGACAAUAAAACACAAUAAUAAUUA